GACGAACGCUGGCGGCGUGCUUAACACAUGCAAGUCGUACGGUAAGGCCCUUUCGGGGGUACACGAGUGGCGAACGGGUGAGUAACACGUGAGUAACCUGCCCACAACUUUGGGAUAACGCUAGGAAACUGGUGCUAAUACUGGAUAUGUGCUCCUGCUGCAUGGUGGGGGUUGGAAAGCUCCGGCGGUUGUGGAUGGACUCGCGGCCUAUCAGCUUGUUGGUGGGGUAGUGGCCUACCAAGGCGGCGACGGGUAGCCGGCCUGAGAGGGUGACCGGCCACAUUGGGACUGAGAUACGGCCCAGACUCCUACGGGAGGCAGCAGGGGGGAAUAUUGCACAAUGGGCGCAAGCCUGAUGCAGAAACGCCGCGUGCGGGAUGACGGCCUUCGGGUUGUAAACCGCUUUCAGCAGGGACGAAGCUUUUUGUGACGGUACCUGCAGAAGAAGCACCGGCUAACUACGUG
rnacentral:rRNA from 1 species